rnacentral:rRNA from 1 species
CCUACGGGUGGCAGCAGUGGGGAAUAUUGCACAAUGGGGGAAACCCUGAUGCAGCGACGCCGCGUGAGUGAAGAAGUAAUUCGUUAUGUAAAGCUCUAUCAGCAGGGAAGAACAUGACGGUAACUGACUAAGCAGCCCCGGCUAACUACGUGCCAGCAGCCGCGGUAAGACGUAGGGGGCAAGCGUUAUCCGGAUUUACUGGGUGUAAAGGGAGCGUAGACGGCAGUGCAAGUCUGGAGUGAAAGGCGGGGGCUCAACCCCCGGACUGCACUGGAAACUGUACGGCUGGAGUGCAGGAGAGGUAAGUGGAAUUCCAUGUGUAGCGGUGAAAUGCGUAGAUAUUAGGAGGAACACCAGUGGCGAAGGCGACUUACUGGACUGUAACUGACGUUGAGGCGCGAAAGCGUGGGGAGCAAACAGGAUUAGAUACCCGUGUAGUC